UCAUUUCUCUAAUUCUCUCUCUUGCACAAAAUCUUCUUCUUCCUUCAACCUCAAAUCUUCUUGCUUCUUCAUCUUUUUCUUCUUCGUUCUACCUUUUCUUCUUCUUCCUCCUCUUUUUCUUAUUGAAACCAAAUCGAAACAACCACUGAUCUGUGAUAUCAAUUUAUGAUUUCAAAAAUAAACUCAGAUCUUCCUCUUCUUAUUUCUUCUACAAAUCUUUGUUUAUUUUAUAUAUUUUUAUUAACUAACUUAAUUUUUUCAUUUGUCUGUUUUUCAGUUGUUAUUUAUCACUCAUCACUUAGAUCUGGAAAUUAAAGAGGAUUAAAACAUGCUGGAAAUAAUGAAGAUGAAGAGACGGAUAAAUUUCAUCAACAGAAACAAAGUUAUUAAUGUUAGUUUUUUUCUCAUGAUUUAGACCUUACACUUACUUGACCUUCAUUUUCUCUCAUCAAGUUAACCGAUUCUACUCAAAGAAAUGGUAGACCAGAAAGCAAAAACAAGUAACUAAAUGAUGCACUCUAUGAUAGAGAAGCAAUAUUUGAUUUUGAAUUUACUGUCCAAUACAUUUUUCAUGAAGACAUGUUAUUGUACUUUCUAAGUUUCUUUAGAAUAUUUUAGAUAACUCACCAAUAAAUCAUUCAAAAGUAUAUAUUUAUUUCAAUAAAAUAUAUUUUGAUUUUAUUAUAAUGCUUAAAAAAAUUAUAAAAUAUUUUAUGAAUAUAAAAGUGUGAUUAUAAUUUUUUAUAAAACACGAUUAAAUUUUUAGAAUCUCCUCACUUGGGAUAAAAGUUUUUACUUGAAAAAAAAUCAUAUACAUGAUUCUGAUAUUAAAUAUGGUUUAUUUUCCCGUCCUUUCUAUUUAAACUUAUUUAUUUAUUUUAAUGUUUUAUGUAUAAUUUUUUAUUUAUUUCACUUGGUAUAAAUUUAUUUAUUGGCAUAAAUUUUGUAAAGUCAUCUUCCUGAUAGGAGUUUUGCAGGAGUGGAUUGAUAAGCCAAAUUUUUGUAAAAGGUACAAUGGUUUGUCAGCAUUGAUCAUCGAUAUAAGUGUUGCAAGAGUGCAUUGUAAAGCCAAAUUUUUGUCUUUCCUCAUACACAACAGUAGGAUGUAGACUUUUCUAAAGCAAUGUCUAUUCAUUCAUAUUAUGCACACUUUUCUAAAGCAAAUGUCUAUUCAUUCAUACACUAAUUAUAUUUUUAAGUUGUAAGUUUAGUUUGUACAGCUAUGCCAAACACUACUUUGCUUAGUACAAUUCUACUAUUUCAA